rnacentral:ncRNA from 1 species
CCCGGGGAUAACAGGCUGAUCUUGCCCAAGAGUCCAUAUCGACGGCAUGGUUUGGCACCUCGAUGUCGGCUCGUCGCAUCCUGGGGGCUGGAGUAGGUCCCCAAGGGGUUGGGGCUGUUUCGCCCCAUUUAAAAGCGGGUACGCGAGCUGGGGUUUUAGAAACGUCGUGAGACAGUUUCGGUCCCCUAUCCGCUGCGCGCGCAGGGAAAACUUGAGAAAGGGGCUGUCCCCUAGUACGAGAGGACCGGGGACGGACGAACCUCUGGUGUGCCAGUUGUUCCGCCAGGAGCAUGGCUGGUUGGCUACGUUCGGAAGGGAUAACCGCUGAAAAGCAUCUAAGCGGGAAGCCUGCUUCAAGAUGAGGUUUCCACCACCCUCGUGGUGGGAAGGCCCCCAGCAGACCACUGGGUUGAUAGGC